AGUAGUAAGAAGAAAAUAUAGAGUUCUUCUUAAUUUGGACCUGGGUCGUGACAAACCGCCCGUCACCCUCUUCAACACCCUCCCCCACCCCUCUCUAAACAGCACAAACCCCCAAGAAGAGGUAAGUCGUAACAUGGUAAGUAUACUGGAAAGUGUACUUGGAACAA
rnacentral:rRNA from 1 species